rnacentral:rRNA from 1 species
AUCUCUUGACGUUAGCAACAGAAGAAGCACCGGCUAACUCCGUGCCAGCAGCCGCGGUAAUACGGAGGGUGCGAGCGUUAAUCGGAAUUACUGGGCGUAAAGCGCAUGCAGGUGGUUCAUUAAGUCAGAUGUGAAAGCCCGGGGCUCAACCUCGGAACUGCAUUUGAAACUGGUGAACUAGAGUACUGUAGAGGGGGGUAGAAUUUCAGGUGUAGCGGUGAAAUGCGUAGAGAUCUGAAGGAAUACCAGUGGCGAAGGCGGCCCCCUGGACAGAUACUGACACUCAGAUGCGAAAGCGUGGGGAGCAAACAGGAUUAGAUACCCUGGUAGUCCACGCCGUAAACGAUGUCUACUUGGAGGUUGUGGCCUUGAGCCGUGGCUUUCGGAGCUAACGCGUUAAGUAGACCGCCUGGGGAGUACGGUCGCAAGAUUAAAACUCAAAUGAAUUGACGGGGGCCCGCACAAGCGGUGGAGCAUGUGGUUUAAUUCGAUGCAACGCGAAGAACCUUACCUACUCUUGACAUCCAGAGAAGCCAGCGGAGACGCAGGUGUGCCUUCGGGAACUCUGAGACAGGUGCUGCAUGGCUGUCGUCAGCUCGUGUUGUGAAAUGUUGGGUUAAGUCCCGCAACGAGCGCAACCCUUAUCCUUGUUUGCCAGCGAGUAAUGUCGGGAACUCCAGGGAGACUGCCGGUGAUAAACCGGAGGAAGGUGGGGACGACGUCAAGUCAUCAUGGCCCUUACGAGUAGGGCUACACACGUGCUACAAUGGCGCAUACAGAGGGCAGCAAGCUAGCGAUAGUGAGCGAAUCCCAAAAAGUGCGUCGUAGUCCGGAUUGGAGUCUGCAACUCGACUCCAUGAAGUCGGAAUCGCUAGUAAUCGUAGAUCAGAAUGCUACGGUGAAUACGUUCCCGGGCCUUGUACACACCGCCCGUCACACCAUGGGAGUGGGCUGCAAAAGAAGUGGGUAGUUUAACCUUUCGGGGAGGACGCUCACCACUUUGUGGUUCAUGACUGGGGUGAAGUCGUAACAAGGUAGCCCUAGGGGAACCUGGGGCUGGAUCACCUCCUUAU